rnacentral:lncRNA from 1 species
UUGGCAUGGGUGCUAGCUUAGGUCCCUUCUACUACUACUCCACUUAGUAAAUUGUCUAUAUUCUAUUACUUUGUACCUAUGUGUGUGAGCUGUGUUAUAUUCAUCUUCCUCAAGUACUACAACACUGGUAGUUGUACACAUAUGAUGGUGAUUCGCUCCGGCCAUUCCAGUUUUGGCGGUGGUGGUGCUGCUGCUCCUAUGAUGGUAGACUCAUCUGAUUCCCCUAGCCGCAUCCAUGGUGAUGAAGCUCGGCCUAGGCUAGAACCCCCUCCAGUGAGCUCCUCAAGUCCUCUUAUACCCCUCCUACUUGCUUCUUGGUUCUAUGCCCUGCCUUUGUGAGGUGUAAUUGUUCAAUUUUGUUCAUAGUCGAGCAUUGGAUGAUAUUGUAUUUGUCAUGAUGUACAUGGUUCAUGAACUAUGCCAACCUGCAGCUUUGUUGAACUAGUGAUAGUAGGAUAAUGCAAGUUUUGACAAUCCAUGCAUAUUUUCGCAUCAUAAUAAUCUUCUUCUUCUAGUCUUCUUCUUCUAACUUUCUUCUUCCCAUUUUACAGAUUUGCUUAAGAUCACGGAAGCUUGGGUUGAUGGAGUGCUUGUAUUUAGUUUUUGUUUUGACCUUGUGAAACUUGCUAUCUAUGGAUGAAACUGUGUAAUAUUGAUGAAACUAUGUAUAUGUAUGGAUGAAACUUGCUACUAUUGGUAACAUGUGUUGGAUAUAUAUGUGUUCAUGACUAUUGGUAAUAUGUGUUGAAUAUGCUAUAUUGGUCAUAUAAAUAUAUUUGUGUUUGAUUUUCUAUGAAAAGGAACUGAUAUAAGAAAAAAAAAAUUAAAUGGGGCAAUAUUGUCACUUUGCCAUCUGCUGGCAGAUGGCAAAGAGCUUUGACAUCAGCUGGCAGAUGGCAAAGAGGCCACGUGUCAUCUACAUGUAAAAUUUGGGCUGGCCUAUUUGGGCUCUUUGCCAUCUGCCAGCAGAUGGCAAAGCUCUUUNNNNNNNNNNUAGGAUAAUGCAAGUUUUGACAAUCCAUGCAUAUUUUCGCAUCAUAAUAAUCUUCUUCUUCUAGUCUUCUUCUUCUAACUUUCUUCUUCCCAUUUUACAGAUUUGCUUAAGAUCACGGAAGCUUGGGUUGAUGGAGUGCUUGUAUUUAGUUUUUGUUUUGACCUUGUGAAACUUGCUAUCUAUGGAUGAAACU